rnacentral:snRNA from 1 species
GUAUAUGAGGACAAUCUGGCUGUGACAUCUGUCACCCCAUUCAUCACCAGGGUUGAUUCGGAUGAUCUGGUUGGCUAGGUGGGUGUCCUCUUCCCCCCUCAUUGCUCCUUGUGUGUCCCCCCGAAGCAACAUGCUCAAAGAAGAUGGCCUUCCCCAAUAGAGAUGGACCGGUCUUUGGUUAAGGGUAUACGAGUAGCUGCACUCCCCUUCCAGAACCUCCAAACAAGUUCUCGAGAACUUCUAAGCAUGUUUCAGGUGGCAGUGCACUCAAUCCUCUUAACUGUAUUUGCU